UACGUAGGGUGCGAGCGUUAAUCGGAAUUACUGGGCGUAAAGCGUGCGCAGGCGGUUAUGCAAGACAGAUGUGAAAUCCCCGGGCUCAACCUGGGAACUGCAUUUGUGACUGUAUAGCUAGAGUACGGUAGAGGGGGAUGGAAUUCCGCGUGUAGCAGUGAAAUGCGUAGAUAUGCGGAGGAACACCGAUGGCGAAGGCAGCCCCCUGGGCUAACACUGACGCUCAUGCACGAAAGCGUGGGGAGCAAACAGG
rnacentral:rRNA from 1 species